rnacentral:lncRNA from 1 species
AAACGAAUGUCACAUCAUUUAUAUAUAAUGGAAUUCUGUACAAAAUAGUUAAAUAAUUACAUCAUGCGAAGACAACGAUCCAGCAACACAAAAUUGACUGGGAGACGACGACCUAGACCACUCACGAACUCAUCACGACAUCCUUCACGCGCCUCAUCCAGUGGUACCUGUUCUUGACCUGGGGGAUGUGAGUACAACAAAGGUGAGCUCACAUACGUCCAUCGCUCAACAAGUUGUGGGGAAUAAUGUACAUGAACUCACCAAAGGUGGGAGCUCAUGUGAAGUGUAAGGCUUACCAAAGGAGAUGGUUAAAGCUGAGCAUUGCUUUUAGAGUUGGUCAAAAUUUUAUUAGCAGUUACUAAGUAUAAGUAGAUACCAAGCCAAAUAAGUAAGAGAUCAAAUUUAUAACAACACCUACAAUGCAAUGCAUAUGACAAAUUAAGUUUAGUUCUAUAAAUUAAUCAUGCGAGAGUCCUGAGCUACUCAUGACCGCGAGCACAGCUGAUAUACGAGUUUUACUCUCUGCAGAGGUUGCGCCCUUUACCCACAAGUCAUGUAUCUCAUCUAGCCAUGGUUAGCCAGACCCUUAGACACUUCCGAGGUGAAUGGCUAGGGAUCCACUACGAGGCCUUUACAAAGUUCCACUAGCUUUAGAAAACCCGCUACAGUUUCUAGGAGGGGCAAUAUAGGAAUCCUUCGUCCGAAAGCCAUCGUAGCAUGAUUGACUCGAGAACCUCCCUAUACGCAACUCCCCUACUGCCCUUGCCUCUUUCGGGUAAGGUAGUCCUCCACUAGCUUUCCUAAUUAGUCAGCCAAGGGCGUCCCAUUCCACCCUUGUGGUAGCACGUGUUUCUCAAGUUAAGCUCCAUGUUCCAAUUAACACAAUGAUCUUGUCACAAACAAUAAUUAAAACAACAGUAUAAUUGGAACAUGAUCAUAAUGUAAUAUUAAUCCCAAAACCAGGAUAGCAUAACUACCCAAAAGUUCAGUGGUAAACAAGGUGUGAGAUAAAUAUGUCUAGGGAAACCUAUUAGGUCCCAUCAGAUUAACCUGAGCAUGUCAUAGUGAUUAACAGUAACAUUAUUGAGUAAAGAAAAGUGAUCAAGGUCACAACUUGCUUAGACUCGAGAUUCCCAGGUACCAGGAUGAUCUUCAGAUUCUUGUGACCUCACUGCUAUUCGUAACAAUUCAAAUAAACAUGGUACAGGCAAAUUAGCAUCACACCAAUCAUAAGAACAAACUGCAUAAUAAUAUUAUAUGCGCCGCAACGAGAUCGUAAGUUCGAGAACUACUCAAAUCGGAGUUAUGGUUAGAAAAAUAUGAUUCUCCAAGUUCUUAGGUAAUUAAUUAAUAAAAUUAUAGUAUAUGUUGAUUAAUGUAAUUCAUAUGAGAAAAUAUUACUAAGAAUAAUUAAUUAAGCUUUUAAUUUGAGUUAUAACUUGAUUAUAAGUUAUAACCAUGAUUAGUAAGAUAAAUAUACUAAACACAGGAUAGAUAAGUAUCUCUUUACAAAAAUAGGUGAUCUGAUAAAACAAUGUUUUUAGUGUGUAGACAAUUUUAUUAUGAAGCUAACGCUACUGGAACAGACCAAAUCGGAGUUAAAACAGAGGAGAUACGGAUUUCCCAAGUUUUUAGGGAAUUAUUUAUAUGUUAAAAGUAUUUUCUAUAUCCAUUUCAUGAAUUUCUGAGAUUUAUAGACUGUGGGCACUAAUUUCUAAAAGUUCGGGGUGUGUUAUAUAACUUUGUGGACCUAUUUGUUAUACCCUCAGCGAAGGAGAGGAUGGCAGGUUGAUUUGUUAAGCUUCCGAGGUCUCUUUCUCAAAAAGGACGUGGCCGAAGGGGUAUAGGCGUAUCCCACCCGUCCGAUUGAAAUCUGGUGAUCCAGAUUAGACCGGACUCGAGUACACAACCCGAGCCACACAACCUGAGAUCGACGUCCAAGAUUUAAUCUAUUUGGAUUGAUUCUCAUGAGUACGAUCUACCACGGACGACCAAGAUCCCGAACCCAAACCGGUAUGGUUUAGUCUAAUCAUAGUCGUCGAUGAACAGAUCAACGGUCAAGGCGAUUCUUCCCCAAUCGAGCCUGACAACGGCGGCGCCGCCCCGUGGCCACAGUGGAUCCCCACCGGAGUGCGGCGUUCUGGGCCCCUAAGUGCCCGACCCAAAGAGCAAAACACAGAAAAGGGCAUGUCAAAGGUAGGGAGUAUGUAUCUACCAGAAAUCGCGUGGCGCAAGACCCAGUGACGGUGGAUGGCGGCUCCGUGGCUGGCACAAAUCCAGUGAGAGAUUCCCGGUUCUCGGUUGCCUCUCCCAUCACGCUAGUGCUUCGCAUGCCACAACACCAUCACGCUGGACCUCCCAGAGCACACGACCAAGCUCAAUCGAUGGCCAUGGCAUGGGUUCAUUGCAGCCACCACAUCUCCCCUCGCCA